GAUGAAGAACGCAGCGAAAUGCGAUACGUAAUGUGAAUUGCAGAAUUCAGUGAAUCAUCGAGUCUUUGAACGCACAUUGCGCCCCCUGGUAUUCCGGGGGACAUGCCUGUCCGAGCGUCAUUGCUGCCCUCAAGCACGGCUUGUGUGUUGGGCCUCCGUCCUCCUCCCGGGGGACGGGCCCGAAAGGCAGCGGCGGCACCGCGUCCGGUCCUCGAGCGUAUGGGGCUUCGUCACCCGCUCUUGUAGGCCCGGCCGGCGCUUGCCGACACAUCAAUCUUUUUUCCAGGUUGACCUCGGAUCAGGUAGGGAUACCCGCUGAACUUAAGCAUAUCAAUAAGCGGAGGA
rnacentral:misc_RNA from 1 species